UGUCAUUUACAUUGUAUACAUAUCCUACCUCACAAACAGAAAACAGUUUGUCACCAUCAGAGUCUCCAGUUCCACCCCGGCCCCAGUCAACCAUGGUGUACCUCAAGGCUCUGUGCUGGGACCCCUCCUCUUCACCAUCUACAUGCUCCCCCUUGGUCAGAUCAUCCGCCACCACGGUCUCAG